rnacentral:rRNA from 1 species
GUCCACGCCUAACGAUGAGAACUAGAUGUCGGGAGGGUUUGCCUUCCGGUGUCGCAGCUAACGCGUUAAGUUCUCCGCCUGGGAAGUACGGCCGCAAGGUUGAAACUCAAAGGAAUUGACGGGACCCGCACAAGCGGUGGAGCAUGUGGUUUAAUUCGAUGCAACGCGAAGAACCUUACCUGGUCUUGACAUCCCAGGAAUCCUGCAGAGAUGCGGGAGUGCCUUCGGGAACCUGGAGACAGGUGCUGCAUGGCUGUCGU